GAUUGAACGCUGGCGGCAGGCUUAACACAUGCAAGUCGAACGGUAGCAGGAGAAAGCUUGCUUUCUUGCUGACGAGUGGCGGACGGUGAGUAAUGCUNGGNAUCUGGCNUAUGGAGGGGGAUAACUACUGGAAACGGUAGCUAAUACCGCNUAAUAUCGAGAGAUUAAAGACUGGGACCUACGGGCCAGUUGCCAUAAGAUGAGCCCAAGUGGGAUUAGGUAGUUGGUGGGGUAAAGGCCUACCAAGCCCGCGAUCUCUAGCUGGUCUGAGAGGAUGACCAGCCACACUGGAACUGAGACACGGUCCAGACNCCUACGGGAGGCAGCAGUGGGGAAUAUUGCACAAUGGGGGGAACCCUGAUGCAGCCAUGCCGCGUGAAUGAAGAAGGGCUNCGGGUUGUAAAGUUCUUUCGGUGGUGAGGAAGGUAUCAACUUUAAUAGAGUUGUAAUGGACGUAUCCACAGAAGAA
rnacentral:rRNA from 1 species